rnacentral:rRNA from 1 species
UAACGUAGACGAAAGUUACGCUAAUACCGCAUAUUCUGUGAGCAGGAAAGCAGGGGAUUGCAAGACCUUGCGCUGAUUGAGCGGCCGAUAUCAGAUUAGCUAGUUGGUGAGGUAAAGGCUCACCAAGGCGACGAUCUGUAGCGGGUCUGAGAGGAUGAUCCGCCACACUGGAACUGAGACACGGUCCAGACUCCUACGGGAGGCAGCAGUGGGGAAUUUUGGACAAUGGGCGCAAGCCUGAUCCAGCCAUGCCGCGUGAGUGAAGAAGGCCUUCGGGUUGUAAAGCUCUUUCGGCCGGGAAGAAAUCGCACAGGUUAAUACCCUGUGUGGAUGACGGUACCGGAAUAAGAAGCACCGGCUAACUACGUG